ACAUUGGUGAUUCAGCGGUAGAAUUCUCGCCUUCCAUGCAGGAGACCUGAGAUCGAUUCUCAGCCAAGGCA
rnacentral:tRNA from 1 species